AAGCAUUUUUACACUCAUAUCGCCGUAUUAACACCACCGAAAGGUGUAAAUAGCAGGCUGAGCACUAUACGCAGGUCUAUAACACGGCAAUUACGCUUAGAAACUGAUCAAAGCGAAAUUACACCUCGUUGGUGUGCAAAUCACACCCAUACAACACCUUAUGGAAGUGCAAUUCUGAACUUUAACACCUAGCUUUUGUUCAUUUACGAAUAACACCUUCCUGUAGUGUAGAUGAUCGCGCUUCAUGUGUGCUGUGUUAUUGACAAAGGAUCCUUGAUCUGCAAUUGCCGCAUUUUUGUCUUGGCUCAACACUGCUCUGAAGUGUAAUGUACCGGACGGCAAAGGCGCAUGCGCGUGACGCCGCUCGCACCCACGCGGCUUUCAGUCCGCCAUUGUGCUUCAACGAACGUGGUUGUUAGUGUGCUGAGCUGGUGUGACUAUUGAGCAAAUUUGAAGACCCACCUGCUCCAGAACGGAGAAGGAACUCAAACACCUUCUACUCGAGAUGCGUGAGGAGCAGGUCGUUUUUGGCCCUGCGACAACGAACGGACCGUCCACCAUCGCAGAUGGCGCACUUUGGGUCGAAAGGGGGAAGAUCGCCGAAUUCCAAACAAAAUGGCGAACAUGCAGGACGAGCUGUACAUCACGAACAUCGCUAUCUUCUUCGAGCGCGCUCGAAGGCGCUGGACUCGAACGCCUAGCCCCGGUUCAUAUCGGACUCGCCGUUUCAUGUACUUGUUUCACCGAUCGACGUCCAAUAAACGUUAAAAUAUUCUGACAUUA